rnacentral:rRNA from 1 species
GGGGAGGCUGCAGGGGGGAAUUUUGGACAAUGGGGGCAACCCUGAUCCAGCAAUGCCGCGUGAGUGAAGAAGGCCUUCGGGUUGUAAAGCUCUUUUGUCAGGGAAGAAACAGCAGCUCUAACACCGUCUGCAAAUGACGGUACCUGAAGAAUAAGCACCGGCUAACUACGUGCCAGCAGCCGCGG